UUCCCCAUGGUUUUAUAACAUGACAAAAUGGAAAGGUCGAGAACAGAAUGAUAGCAGAUGCAUUAUGUUUCUGUGAACGUUUUAUCCCAUGGCAGAAGCUUCUGUGUACAAUGGAAUCCACCAAGGAUCUUCAAAUCUAGCUAUCUUCCCAACCAAGACAAGCUCUACUUGAUUAUAGCACCUUAGCCUCAUUCAAUUUCUAAUUAAUUUGUCAUGCAAUAGAGUUGAGAGUACAUAUAAAUGGGAGAUCUGAAGUAAAAGCAGAGGAAGUGGGUUGUCGCUCACCUCCCCUCCCCUCGGCCCUGGUUUCCCAUCUUCAGCAUCCCCUUCCUUCCUGCUGGGUCUGGGUUCUUUGCCCAGCUGCAAUUACUCCAUUAUGCUAUUAAAGUUCAGAAUGUGCAACAUGCCCGA